rnacentral:sRNA from 1 species
UCAUAAACCCGAUAGCGUGGAAAUACUUUUUGUUGCACUGUCAUAAUAGAUUGCCACGUCGUUUCUAAUCGCAAUGACGAUGUAGGAAAAAAAAAUGAAGCCAAAAAGAUUGAAAUAAUAGCGGGGCUGCAG